UGGCACACCAUAUUUUUCAAUCUCCUUCAUUCGGCCAUUUUCACACACCGCACCGUUAGCCUGUUUGCGCUGUUCGUGGAAGUUGCAGAGGAUGUACUCAUCGCAUUUCAACGAUGAUAUAAUAUGUACAGCAAAAAUUGAUGGCAAGGGUGACAUGAAUCAGAUUGACAAGAAUCCAUAUAAUGCUAUCAUCACUGCCAUCAGAUUCAUACAUAGCUUCCUUGUUGUGCCUACCAAUAGCAAGGUACCAGAUUAUACAGCAGUUAUGUGGAAACAGAUUCCCACAAUAGGGGGACCAGAUUGACACCUACAUUGUACAGAAUUAGGCAGUUAUAUCAGAACUGGAAAAACUGGAUCCAAACAAGACUAUAUUGCUUGGAAGAAACAUGUCGACUCUGAAGUUUACCCUUAAUUUCACAUUACCAUUACUCCUAUUUUGAAAUAUAAUGUAUUACAUUACUUGAGAGUGAAUUUACAUUACACAUUUACAUAACAUACUGUCAGAUAUUAAAGAAAUGGCAGAAAAAUUAUUUUUGUAUUAUGAUUUUUAAUUAUACAUUAACAUAAGUACACAAAUAUUCAGCAAUGUUAGGAAACAUAUCUAUUAAGUUAUUCAUUGCAUUUGAUUGUCAUCAAUGUUUCAAAUGCUUCAGUCAAUCUCACUAAUAAAAUGAAUUAUUCUAAAUCUUCAAAAUAUCAUCAAAUAUUUGAAGUAGUGUAAAUGUAAUGAAAAAUAAUGUGCAGUACAGUAUGCAUUACAUUACCAUUACUUGUAAUGCAAAAAUGGUCCAUUACACCCGCAUUACAUUGAAACUGGCUGUCAUUUAAUUACCAUUACCACAGGCCUGGUUCUGUCGAGAGGUAUUGAAAUUGUCGGUAGAGACUUUGUCUCAGGAAGUGGCCGAGAUUGGUGGUGACAAUUUUGUUGGAUGUGAAUUUACUGACACACAUGUCUACACUUGCUACACAAUAUAUCUUGUGGUGGUUUCAACAAGAAAGUUCUUACUCUGCAGGAAAUGACGAACAGCUAAUGGAUUCACAUUUUUUCUGACUUUUCUUCUGUACAUUAGAUGCAUUGGAAAAACUUUCCUUUCCAUUAUCUUUUGCUGGUUCAUACUUUGAAAUAAAAUCAAGUCCGAAAAUAAA